UAAGCACUCCGCCUGGGGAGUACGACCGCAAGGUUGAAACUCAAAGGAAUUGACGGGGGCCCGCACAAGCGGUGGAGCAUGUGGUUUAAUUCGAAGCAACGCGAAGAACCUUACCAGGUCUUGACAUCCUUUGACCACUCUGGAGACAGAGCUUUCCCUUCGGGGACAAAGUGACAGGUGGUGCAUGGUUGUCGUCAGCUCGUGUCGUGAGAUGUUGGGUUAAGUCCCGCAACGAGCGCAACCCUUGAUUUUAGUUGCCAGCAUUUAGUUGGGCACUCUAAAGUGACUGCCGGUGCAAGCCGGAGGAAGGUGGGGAUGACGUCAAAUCAUCAUGCCCCUUAUGACCUGGGCUACACACGUGCUACAAUGGAUAGUACAAAGGGUCGCGAAGCCGCGAGGUGGAGCUAAUCCCAUAAAACUAUUCUCAGUUCGGAUUGUAGGCUGCAACUCGCCUACAUGAAGCCGGAAUCGCUAGUAAUCGUGGAUCAGCAUGCCACGGUGAAUACGUUCCCGGGCCUUGUACACACCGCCCGUCACACCACGAGAGUUUGUAACACCCGAAGUCGGUAGGGUAACCUUUAUGGAGCCAGCCGCCGAAGGUGGGACAGAUAAUUGGGGUGAAGUCGUAACAAGGUAGCCGUAUCGGAAGGUGCGGCUGGAUCACCUCCUUU
rnacentral:rRNA from 1 species